rnacentral:rRNA from 1 species
UACGUAGGGUGCAAGCGUUAAUCGGAAUUACUGGGCGUAAAGCGUGCGCAGGCGGCUUUGCAAGACAGAUGUGAAAUCCCGGGCUUAACCUGGAACUGCAUUUGUGACUGCAUGGCUGGAGUGCGGCAGAGGGGGAUGGAAUUCCGCGGUGUAAGCAGUGAAAUGCGUAGAUAUGCGGAGGAACACCGAUGGCGAAGCAAUCC